rnacentral:rRNA from 1 species
GGGUGGGGGUAACAUUGCUCCUGGCAUUCAGCGGCGGACGGGUGAGUAAUGCCUAGGAAUCUGCCUGGUAGUGGGGGAUAACGUCCGGAAACGGGCGCUAAUACCGCAUACGUCCUGAGGGAGAAAGUGGGGGAUCUUCGGACCUCACGCUAUCAGAUGAGCCUAGGUCGGAUUAGCUAGUUGGUGGGGUAAAGGCCUACCAAGGCGACGAUCCGUAACUGGUCUGAGAGGAUGAUCAGUCACACUGGAACUGAGACACGGUCCAGACUCCUACGGGAGGCAGCAGUGGGGAAUAUUGGACAAUGGGCGAAAGCCUGAUCCAGCCAUGCCGCGUGUGUGAAGAAGGUCUUCGGAUUGUAAAGCACUUUAAGUUGGGAGGAAGGGCAGUAAGUUAAUACCUUGCUGUUUUGACGUUACCAACAGAAUAAGCACCGGCUAACUUCGUGCCAGCAGCCGCGGUAAUACGAAGGGUGCAAGCGUUAAUCGGAAUUACUGGGCGUAAAGCGCGCGUAGGUGGUUCAGCAAGUUGGAUGUGAAAUCCCCGGGCUCAACCUGGGAACUGCAUCCAAAACUACUGAGCUAGAGUACGGUAGAGGGUGGUGGAAUUUCCUGUGUAGCGGUGAAAUGCGUAGAUAUAGGAAGGAACACCAGUGGCGAAGGCGACCACCUGGACUGAUACUGACACUGAGGUGCGAAAGCGUGGGGAGCAAACAGGAUUAGAUACCCUGGUAGUCCACGCCGUAAACGAUGUCGACUAGCCGUUGGGAUCCUUGAGAUCUUAGUGGCGCAGCUAACGCGAUAAGUCGACCCGCCCUGGGGAGUACGGCCGCAGUUAAAACUCAAAUGAAUUGACGGGGGCCCGGCACAAGCGGUGGGAGCAUGUGGGUUUUAAAUUUCCG